CUUUUUCUUUUUUUUCUUGUAAGAUGGUCCCUUUUUCUCCUCCCUUCAGAAUGUUGUCAUUUUAUUCAAUGCAUUCCCCAAGCCUCCUUCUCUUAGCUCAAAUCUUGUAUGGAGCAGAGUUCAAGUUGCCUAAGGCCACACCACAAGACCAGUAAGAGGCGCAUGACCAGUCAGAA